rnacentral:rRNA from 1 species
AACGAACGCUGGCGGCAGGCUUAACACAUGCAAGUCGAGCGCCCCCCAAGGGGAGCGGCAGACGGGUGAGUAACGCGUGGGAAUCUACCCAUCUCUACGGAAUAACGCAUGGAAACGUGUGCUAAUACCGUAUACGUCCUUCGGGAGAAAGAUUUAUCGGAGAUGGAUGAGCCCGCCGUUGGAUUAGCUAGUUGGUGGGGUAAAGGCCUACCAAGGCGACGAUCCAUAGCUGGUCUGAGAGGAUGAUCAGCCACACUGGGACUGAGACACGGCCCAGACUCCUACGGGAGGCAGCAGUGGGGAAUAUUGGACAAUGGGCGCAAGCCUGAUCCAGCCAUGCCGCGUGAGUGAUGAAGGCCCUAGGGUUGUAAAGCUCUUUCACCGGUGAAGAUAAUGACGGUAACCGGAGAAGAAGCCCCGGCUAACUUCGUGCCAGCAGCCGCGGUAAUAC